rnacentral:rRNA from 1 species
GACCCGUCUUGAACCACGGAGUCUAACAUGUGCGCGAGUCAUUGGGAUAGUAAAACCUAAAGGCGCAAUGAAAGUGAAGGUCGGCUUCGCGUCGACCGAGGGAGGAUGGGCCGCGCUACGACGGCACUCCCGGGGCGUCUCGUUCUCAUUACGAGAAGAGGCGCACCCAGAGCGUACACGUUGGGACCCGAAAGAUGGUGAACUAUGCCUGGUCAGGACGAAGUCAGGGGAAACCCUGAUGGAGGUCCGUAGCGAUUCUGACGUGCAAAUCGAUCGUCGGAACUGGGUAUAGGGGCGAAAGACUAAUCGAACCAUCUAGUAGCUGGUUCCUUCCGA